rnacentral:pre_miRNA from 1 species
UAAUGUAUCACUUGGGGAUCUUGUUAAAAUGUAGGUUCUGAUUAAGUAGGGUGGGGCCUGAGAAUCUGCAUGUCUAGCAAGCUCCCAGGAGAUAUCAAU